rnacentral:sRNA from 1 species
GUACGGGGAAGGAUGAGAAGCUUCGACUAAGGUUCGAUUCGAGCGAAAGCGAGAAAGCGUUGCCAACGGCAACGACCCGAAGCGCGCAGCGGUGAGUAAUCCUUCCCCCACCACCA